rnacentral:RNase_P_RNA from 2 species
GUUCGGAUCCGGGUGAUCGCUGCGGGCCUUGCGUUCGUAGAGGAAAGUCCGGACAUCGCAAGGCAGCGUGUCCCGUGAAAGCGGGAGACGGCGGGUUCCCAAGGCCCGCCGGACGGAAAGUGCCACAGAAAAUAAACCGCCGAUGGCUCUUCGGAGUACAGGCAAGGGCGAAACGGGGAGGUAAGAGCUCACCGCUCCCAAGGCAACGAGGGAGGCAGGGUAAACCCCACGCGAUGCAAGACAAACAGGGGAAGGGUUGCCUGCUCGUCGGAUCCCCGGGUAUUAGUCGCACCGCGCCCCUGAGAAGGCGCGGCACGGAGUUCGCUCCGUGAGAAAAAUGAUCACACAGUCCCUGCAAGGGGAUGGACAGAAUCUGGCUUACAGGGUCCGAACGACU